GACGAACGCUGGCGGCGUGCCUAACACAUGCAAGUCGCACGGGGUAGCAAUACCCAGUGGCGAACGGGUGCGUAACACGUGAGGAACAUACCUAUCGGCGGGGGAUAGCCGGCCCAACAGCCGGGUAAUACCGCGUACGCUCUCCGGGGGGCAUCUCCUGGGGAGGAAAGCAGCAAUGCACCGAUAGAGUGCCUCGCGGCCUAUCAGCUAGUUGGUGAGGUAAUGGCUCACCAAGGCGACGACGGGUAGCUGGUCUGAGAGGAUGAUCAGCCACAUUGGGACUGAGACACGGCCCAGACUCCUAGGGGAGGCAGCAGUGGGGAAUCUUGCGCAAUGGGCGAAAGCCUGACGCAGCGACGCCGCGUGUGGGAUGAAGGCCUUCGGGUCGUAAACCACUGUCGCGAGGGACGAAUACAUUGACGGUACCUCGAAAGGAAGCAACCGGCUAACUCUGUGCCAGCAGCCGCGGUAAUACAGAGGUGCG
rnacentral:rRNA from 1 species